UGGGGGAUAUUGCACAAUGGGCGCAAGCCUGAUGCAGCGACGCCGCGUGGGGGAUGAAGGCCUUCGGGUUGUAAACUUCUUUUGCUCUGAACAAGGCGCACUUUGGGGUGUGUUGAGUGUAGGGGUUGAUUAGCGCCGGCUAACUACGUGCCAGCAGCCGCGGUAAUACGUAGGGCGCGAGCGUUGUCCGGAAUUAUUGGGCGUAAAGGGCUUGUAGGUGGCUGGUUGCGUCUGUCGUGAAAGCUCAUGGCUUAACUGUGGGUUUGCGGUGGGUACGGGCUGGCUUGAGUGCAGUAGGGGAGGCUGGAAUUCCUGGUGUAGCGGUGGAAUGCGCAGAUAUCAGGAGGAAUACCGGUGGCGAAGGAGGGUCUCUGGGCUGUUACUGACACUGAGGAGCGAAAGCAUGGGGAGCGAACAGG
rnacentral:rRNA from 1 species